CACGUAGGAGGCGAGCGUUGUCCGGAAUCAUUGGGCGUAAAGAGCGCGCAGGCGGCUUGACAAGUCGGGUGUGAAAUCCCGGGGCUCAACCCCAGGACUGCAUUCGAUACUGUCAGGCUAGAGGUAGGUAGGGGGAGAUCGGAAUUCCUGGUGUAGCGGUGAAAUGCGCAGAUAUCAGGAGGAACACCGGUGGCGAAGGCGGAUCUCUGGGCCGUAACUGACGCUGAGGAGCGAAAGCAUGGGGAGCGAACAGG
rnacentral:rRNA from 1 species